rnacentral:rRNA from 1 species
AUUGAACGCUGGCGGCAGGCCUAACACAUGCAAGUCGAACGAGUGGCGGACGGGUGAGUAAUGUCUGGGAAACUGCCUGAUGGAGGGGGAUAACUACUGGAAACGGUAGCUAAUACCGCAUACCAUCGGAUGUGCCCAGAUGGGAUUAGCUAGUAGGUGGGGUAAAGGCUCACCUAGGCGACGAUCCCUAGCUGGUCUGAGAGGAUGACCAGCCAGACUGGAACUUAGACAGGUUCCAGACGCCGACGGUAGGCAGGAGGGGGGAAUAUUGAACAAUGGGCGCAAGCCUGAGGCAGCCAUGCCGCGUGUAUGAAGAAGGCCUUAGGGUUGUAAAGUACUUGCAUCGGGGAGGCGUUACCCGCAGAAGAAGCACCGGCUAACUCCGUGCCAGCAGCCGCGGUAAUAC